rnacentral:misc_RNA from 1 species
GGAAUAAACAUUUCUUAAGGGAGAGAAAAAAUCCAUAAAGUCUUCGCCGCGAAAAUUAAUGAAGCAGCUGUCAUGUAUCACUGUCAAUACAAUCAUUUUCAACAUAUAGCAAAGCCAAACAACAAACUAAGAGUUUCAACUUCUUUUUGCUUAUUGCGUUUGUUCCCCCACCCAUUUCUUUCUUUCUUCUUUGUUUCUUUUUAUCUUUUUCCCAC